rnacentral:lncRNA from 1 species
GUACCAAGUUCACAAGGAUACGGCUCAAUCAGUUUGGUAGCCUCUGCCGCUCCUCCAUUGCUGCUGUAAUCACUUUUAUUCCUCUCAUCCUUAUUUUCUGGGCUCUCUCCUUCAGCCCUCCCGCUUUCCCCAAAUUUCAGACACAUUUAGGGCUUGUGAAAGUUGUUUCUGUUGGGAGAAGAAGUUGAGCUUAUUGCUGGAAGCCCUAGUAGAGAAAGCAGAAGCUGUUACAGUUCCAUUUCAUGGUGCAUCUGCCGACUAUAUUUGUGCAAGAAAGGAAGCCUUUUUCUUUAAUGUUGCUGGAUCACGGAUCAUGGAUCAUGGAUGGCUUUCCUGCUGACCCUCUUAUACAACUGACGAAUGAGUCACCAAUAUUUGAAAAGAAAAAAUUAGAAACUUUUUAGUAGUAGUUUCUUCUUUCUUUUCUUUUUCUCGAGUAAUUAGCAAUUAGUAGCUUCGCAGAACUAAUCCUUUUUUAUGUGUUUUAAGUUAAUUGGUUGGUUAUUAGUAC